rnacentral:misc_RNA from 1 species
CCUGUACGCCCGAUCUCAUUCUGAUUCUCGAAGCCAACCAUGGCAAAGCUAGGGACAUGCUGGAUGGGUGACGGGGUGACGAUCAGCCGCGCUGCAAAAUCUCAUGAGGCCAUCGAUUCAAAAGUCGGCUUGAAGUCACAGCAGGCAAAAGAACUACCGGCAGUUCACCGAUUAUAUAAAAGACAAUACAGCGUGAAUCGAAACCUUCAGUGCUCU